rnacentral:rRNA from 1 species
CCUACGGGCGGCAGCAGUGAGGAAUAUUGGUCAAUGGACGAGAGUCUGAACCAGCCAAGUAGCGUGAAGGAUGACUGCCCUAUGGGUUGUAAACUUCUUUUAUAUGGGAAUAAAACGUUCCACGUGUGGGAUUUUGUAUGUACCAUAUGAAUAAGGAUCGGCUAACUCCGUGCCAGCAGCCGCGGUAAUACGGAGGAUCCGAGCGUUAUCCGGAUUUAUUGGGUUUAAAGGGAGCGUAGGUGGAUUGUUAAGUCAGUUGUGAAAGUUUGCGGCUCAACCGUAAAAUUGCAGUUGAAACUGGCAGUCUUGAGUACAGUAGAGGUGGGCGGAAGUCGUGGUGUAGCGGUGAAAUGCUUAGAUAUCCCGAAGAACUCCGAUUGCGAAGGCAGUUCACUGGACUGCAACUGACACUGAGGCUCGAAAGUGUGGGUAUCAAACAGGAUUAGAUACCCCUGUAGUC